rnacentral:rRNA from 1 species
AACGAACGCUGGCGGCAUGCCUAACACAUGCAAGUCGAACGAGACCUUCGGGUCUAGUGGCGCACGGGUGCGUAACGCGUGGGAACCUGCCCUUAGGUUCGGAAUAACUCCCCGAAAGGGGUGCUAAUACCGGAUAAUGUCUUCGGACCAAAGAUUUAUCGCCUUUGGAUGGGCCCGCGUUGGAUUAGCUAGUUGGUAGGGUAAAAGCCUACCAAGGCGACGAUCCAGAGCUGGUGUGAGAGGAUGAUCAGCCACACUGGGACUGAGACACGGCCCAGACUCCUACGGGAGGCAGCAGUGGGGAAUAUUGGGCAAUGGGCGAAAGCCUGAUCCAGCAAUGCCGCGUGAGUGAUGAAGGCGUUAGGGUUGUAAAGCUCUUUUACCCGGGAUGAUAAUGACAGUACCGGGAGAAUAAGCUCCGGCUAACUCCGU